rnacentral:rRNA from 1 species
UGGAGCAUGUGGUUAAUUCGAAGCAACGCGAAGAACCUUACCAGGUCUUGACAUCCCGAUGCUAUUUCUAGAGAUGGAUUGGUGCCUUCGGGAACUCUGACACAGGUGCUGCAUGGCUGUCGCCAGCUCGUGUCGUGAGAUGUUGGGUUAAGUCCCGUAACGAGCGCAACCCUUGUCCUUAGUUACCAGCACGUUAAGGUGGGCACUCUAAGGAGACUGCCGGUGACAAACCGGAGGAAGGUGGGGAUGACGUCAAGUCAUCAUGGCCCUUACGGCCUGGGCUACACACGUGCUACAAUGGUCGGUACAAAGGGUUGCCAAGCCGCGAGGUGGAGCUAAUCCCAUAAAACCGAUCGUAGUCCGGAUCGCAGUCUGCAACUCGACUGCGUGAAGUCGGAAUCGCUAGUAAUCGUGAAUCAGAAUGUCACGGUGAAUACGUUCCCGGGCCUU